rnacentral:lncRNA from 1 species
UAGGAGGCUGCCUAAUACUUAAUUGGAUUAUCUUGCAUUUCUCUAAGUUAGUAAGUACAAUUGAUUUCAUCUUUCUAAUACUUGUUUCUAACUAAGACAUUAAAAAGUGUGCAAAUUUUAAGUUGAUAUCAAUGAUUUGAUUAUUAGUUGCUAAGGUUCUAUUUUGCUAUAGGAUUUAUUAAGGGUUUAUUUUAGAUCUAAGAUUUGAUUAAGAUUUGGUCUAGAAUUUGUUUAGGAUUUGAUUUAAAACUUAUUUAGGAUAUAUUAAGAGUUUAGGAUUUUAUUAGAAUAUCAUUAAUAUUUGAUC